CCCAGCAUGGGUGAUUUUCUUUGGAAGAUUCGGUAGUUGGUGGGUUGACAUCCCAGUACUUCGUCAUUUCCUCGGAUAGAUCCCCAGCGGAGUUGUUGGUAUGAUGAACUUCAUCCAUGCUAUCUAUCCCCAUCAGAGAUCUGGUUGCUUCCUGGCGUCUCUGAUCCCUAGUGUGAGUUGUUGUUGUGGCGUUUCUGCCUGUGCAUUGAACUCUUUU
rnacentral:lncRNA from 1 species